rnacentral:rRNA from 1 species
UUAUGCAAAGCUAGCUCUCUGCAACUCUCACUUGGUCACCCACUGAAGCUAAGCAGGGCUGUGGCCGGUCAGAACCUGGAUGGGAGACCUUAUGGGAAAGCUAUGUUGCUGCCAAAA